rnacentral:other from 1 species
CCUCGUCCGCCGCGUUCGCGCGGGUCCUAUAUUUCCUUGAACCGAUGCUCAUUGAGCCAGGGCUUGGAAGAUCGCGAAGCAGGUGUGAUCGUCUCGCGUCAGACGAACCCGAAGCCUCGCUGACCUCGCCCACCUGAACUUCCCUGAGGGUUCAGGAAUGCGGCCCGCGGUGCGCGGCGGACACCUA